rnacentral:rRNA from 1 species
CAGUAGCCGCGGUAAUACGUAGGGGGCAAGCGUUAUCCGGAAUUACUGGGUGUAAAGGGAGCGUAGACGGUUAAACAAGUCUAAAGUGAAAUGCCGGGGCUCAACCCCGGAGCUGCUUUGGGAACUGUAGAACUGGAGUGUCGGAGGGGUAAGCGGAAUUCCCAGUGUAGCGGUGAAAUGCGUAGAUAUUGGGAGGAACACCGGCGGCGAAGGCGGCUUACUGGACGACAACUGACGUUGAGGCUCGAAGGCGUGGGUAGCAAACAGGAUUAGAUACCCGUGUAGUCCCUGUCUCUUAUAA